ensembl:lncRNA
AUGACCUUCAGAUGUGUUCAGGCCAAGACUCUUUUUCGAACAUGUGAAGUUUGGGGAAGAUCGGACAUCUUAUGCCUGAGUUACAACAACUUCUAUUCCCAUGGCGAGACAUCGAACUUUGUCACGGCGCCAUGGCCACACCCUUUAAUGAAACCUCAAGAUGUUCACAAUUUAAACUUCACAUGUUUAAGACCCUCUGGGCCUUCCAGAAAUGGACGUGACAUUAUGGAACGCCAAACGGUUCACAUUUCACCAUUUACCAGACGCCUGGUGUGCAGAAAAUUAAAAAGUAUUUUAAUUAUUAUUUAAAAUACGGCGUUUUGUAGUACAGACGGUGUAAAUUACGGCGUUUUCACAGCAGAACCGCCGUUAAUAUCG